rnacentral:rRNA from 1 species
AAUCAACGCUGGCGGCGUGCCUAAUACAUGCAAGUCGAACGCGAAAGUCCCGCAAGGGGCAAGUAGAGUGGCAAACGGGUGAGUAACGCGUGGGCGACCUACCUUCGAGUGGGGGAUAACCUUCCGAAAGGAGGGCUAAUACCGCAUGACAUCCCGUGUUUGGAUACACGGACAUCAAAGUCGGGGAUCGCAAGACCUGACGCUUGGAGAGGGGCCUGCGUCCGAUUAGCUAGUUGGUGGGGUAACGGCCCACCAAGGCUUCGAUCGGUAUCCGGCCUGAGAGGGCGGACGGACACACUGGGACUGAGACACGGCCCAGACUCCUACGGGAGGCAGCAGUAGGGAAUUGUUCGCAAUGGGCGCAAGCCUGACGACGCAACGCCGCGUGGAGGAUGAAGACCUUCGGGUCGUAAACUCCUUUCGACCGAGAUGAACACUCACCGACCUAAUACGUCGGUGAGCUGACAGUAUCGAGGGAAGAAGCCCCGGCUAACUCCGUGC